AGUGAACGCUGGCGGUAGGCCUAACACAUGCAAGUCGAACGGCAGCACAGUAAGAGCUUGCUCUUACGGGUGGCGAGUGGCGGACGGGUGAGGAAUACAUCGGAAUCUACUUUUUCGUGGGGGAUAACGUAGGGAAACUUACGCUAAUACCGCAUACGACCUACGGGUGAAAGCAGGGGAUCUUCGGACCUUGCGCGAUUGAAUGAGCCGAUGUCGGAUUAGCUAGUUGGCGGGGUAAAGGCCCACCAAGGCGACGAUCCGUUGCUGGUCUGAGAGGAUGGUCAGCCACACUGGAACUGAGACACGGUCCAGACUCCUACGAGAGGCAGCAGUGGGGAAUAUUGGACAAUGGGCGCAAGCCUGAUCCAGCCAUACCGCGUGGGUGAAGGAGGCCUUCCGGUUGUAAAGCCCUUUUGUUGGGAAAGAAAAGCAGCAGGUUAAUACCCCGCUGUUCUGACGGUACCCAAAGAAUAAGCACCGGCUAACUUCGUG
rnacentral:rRNA from 1 species